rnacentral:tRNA from 3 species
CGGAGCGUGGCGCAGUUUGGUAGCGCACCUGCUUUGGGAGCAGGGGGUCGAAGGUUCAAAUCCUUUCGCUCCGACCA